CAUCUUCUCCAUAAGUUGCUGCCAAAUUUUUCUCUCCACCAUAGCUAGGGUUUCAACACUUUUAAGCCUUGAUUCCGGCUUGGAGAUCAAGACGGUCGGAGGCACGCUCACACUAUCAACGGACCAUCUCGGUAUGGCGGCUUGCAUAUUUUGGGAAUAUGGCAUGUAUAGCAUUAUAAUCCUUUUGUGUAUAUAAUCUUAUAAUAUAAGUCAUGGAUGGCAUGGAAAUGUUUGAGAAUGAUUAGCUAUUGGAGUGGCUAAUCAAGAUUAUAUUUGAUAACACGUAUGCUUUAUGUGCUAA